GUUAUUUUUUUUGUGUUCUUUAAUAAAAAGUUGCAGAGAAGCUGCAUUGUUAGCGUCUACAAUGGACCGAAGGAGUUGGCCCUGGAAGAAGAAAUCAUCAGAUAAGACUGCAAGUGAGAAACCUGCAGCUCUUACAGUGGAAUCAGCAUCUGCCCCUUCAGAUUCAACUGAAUCUAAGGUUGAACAGACUAAACAGGAAAUCAAGAAACCGAAGUAUGUGC
rnacentral:misc_RNA from 1 species